UGUAUUAUACUAAUUGUAGUUAAAUUUUGUAUGUAUCGAGUUCGUAGCAUCAAAAGAUACGUGCUCAUUUAGAAUGGAUGUUCUUAUUUCCAUUUUUCACGAGCGAUUGGUAACGUUCACAGUCAAACGCCGAUGCAGAGUUUCUCGGCGAGGAUGAAUAUUGCAAAAUAAGCUUUCGUUCCAUUGUCGGACGGAGCUCGCAAGAACACACUUCGAUUGUUGGUCUUUUCUAACAAGUCGCUACAGUACUUCUUUCGUGGCCCGUCUUCCAGUAAACAUUUUUUGGCAUUUCUGUUACACAUUGUUACCAGCAAAACAACUGUUGCUGCUCGUCUGUGUAUACGUCCUAGGCCAACUGUUAGUUCGAAUUCAUGUGGCUGUCUCACAAGCUUGAGACGUAUUGCAUUACGGGACCUGUCUUUACAGAUGAAGGAGGUUUGCCACUAUCAGCAGUUAGUAAAUGAACAGCAGUUCCUUCUUAACUAGCUCCUGCGGGAACAGCAACAGUAAUUGACCUCGCUGCUCAGCAUAUGCAUCACCUCUUGGGGACAAGGGAGGCUGGACCCUGCAGAUUCAUGCUGUGGCGGCUUUUCGGCACCUUUCAGGGACCUGAAGCACAACCAUCAAAAUGUUAGAUGUCUGUCCAGCUCCGCGAGCUGAUGUGCCCACAGAGAAUCUAAAAACAUCUGAUUAUUACAGAACACUGCACAUACCACCUCGUUUCGAUAAUCCAUGAAAAGGAAAAAAUGACAC